rnacentral:rRNA from 1 species
AUUGAACGCUGGCGGCAGGCCUAACACAUGCAAGUCGAACGAGUGGCGGACGGGUGAGUAAUGUCUGGGAAACUGCCUGAUGGAGGGGGAUAACUACUGGAAACGGUAGCUAAUUACGCAUACCAUCGGAUGUGCCCAGAUGGGAUGAGCUAGUAGGUGGGGGAAAGGCUCACCUAGGCGACGAUCCCUAGCUGGGCUGAGCGGAUGACAAGCGACACUGGAACUGAGACACGGUCCAGACGCCUACGGGAGGCAGCAGGGGGGAAUAUGGCACGAUGGGCGCAAGGCUGAUACAGCCAUGCCGCGUGGAUGAAGAAGGCAUUCGGGUUGUAAAGUACUUUCAGCGGGUAGGCGUUACCCGCAGAAGAAGCACCGGCUAACUCCGUGCCAGCAGCCGCGGUAAUUC